GUCAAGUAAAAACGAAUUAUUAGAUAUAACUCGAAAAGUAGUUGUUAGAUCUCAAAUAAAUUUAAAUGGGACCAAUUGACACACACCACCUUUCGAUUAAAACAAAAUUUGUCGAAAUCGGUCCACCCGGUCAAAAGUUCUGAUGUAACAUACAUAAAAAAAAAUACAGUCGAAUUGAGAACCUCCUCCUUUUUUGGAAGUCGGUUAAAAAAAAACCUUAGACUAACACAGAUUAAUUGAUUAAUUUAGCCUGUAACAUCCCAUUACUGAGUGGGAGAAGGACGGUGGUCUGUGACUAAAUAUACAAAUUCAUAAAUCAAAACAUUAUUAUAUAUGAAACACCAGCUUUAAACUUACACAAUAAUUGAUUAUUAACCAAAAUUUUCAAAAGCUUUGCUAUUUACAUACGUAGUAAUAGAAUAAAACAUUACUUAUCUCAAUGUCUGUUUUUAAGGGUGGUGAAAUAUUUUUAAAGUAGUAGAAGAGAAAAGCAUGUCUGUGAUAUUGUUAAUUUAGGUUUUGUAAAUGAUUAUGAACAAAAAAUAAACGUUUUAUUAUAAAUAAUGUUUUUUUUUAACUUUUUUGAUAUUAUAAGUAUAUAAACAAACGAAUCUGAACAAAAUAAAAAAAACCCGUGGCUUCACCAUGCUGCUCCAAUACAGGUAAACGAAUAACUUUUUAACAUAUCGCAUUCAGCCUGUAACAUCCCAUCGCUGGGCUUAGGCAUUUUUCUGCAUGUACGCUGCACCAUGCUGAUCCACGAGGGCUGAUAUAUUACCUACUAUGAGUAAUAACCGCUAUCAAAUAUUCAUGAUAACAACUGGGACCGAUGGCUUAGCGCGGUCUCUGAGGCAUGGUGGGGAGACUCAUAAGGUCAGACAUCCAAACUGGAAAGAGAUAUUUGUACAAAUACCAAUAUCGUAUAUCGGAAUUCAAUCCGUAUACCGUCGAUGUUUUAUGCGAUUACUCGCACCCCUACACCAGAGCGGUUGUUGCAUGAGUCAUUGUUAUCAGGUAUCUAUGAUAAUGACGGAUUGAGUUUUUUUAGAGCUACGACAA
rnacentral:misc_RNA from 1 species